GCGCGCAUCUGCAGUCGAGCGGACGAAGGGAGCUUGCUCCCGGAUGUUAGCGGCGGACGGGUGAGUAACACGUGGGUAACCUGCCUGUAAGACUGGGAUAACUCCGGGAAACCGGAGCUAAUACCGGAUAGUUCCUUGAACCGCAUGGUUCAAGGAUGAAAGACGGUUUCGGCUGUCACUUACAGAUGGACCCGCGGCGCAUUAGCUAGUUGGUGAGGUAACGGCUCACCAAGGCGACGAUGCGUAGCCGACCUGAGAGGGUGAUCGGCCACACUGGGACUGAGACACGGCCCAGACUCCUACGGGAGGCAGCAGUAGGGAAUCUUCCGCAAUGGACGAAAGUCUGACGGAGCAACGCCGCGUGAGUGAUGAAGGUUUUCGGAUCGUAAAGCUCUGUUGUUAGGGAAGAACAAGUGCAAGAGUAACUGCUUGCACCUUGACGGUACCUAACCAGAAAGCCACGGCUAACUACGUGCCAGCAGCCGCGGUAAUACGUAGGUGGCAAGCGUUGUCCGGAAUUAUUGGGCGUAAAGGGCUCGCAGGCGGUUUCUUAAGUCUGAUGUGAAAGCCCCCGGCCUCAACCGGGGGAGGGAUCAUUGGAAAACUAGGGAAACCUUGAAGUGGCAGAAAGAAGGAGAAGUUGGGAAUAUCCCACCGUGGUAGACGUUUGAAAU
rnacentral:rRNA from 1 species